ACUAUUUUGGCAAAGUCUAGCCUGCAAUAAAUUUAGAAUUUAUAAAUAUAAUUUUUAAUUAUAAAUAGUA
rnacentral:tRNA from 1 species